rnacentral:rRNA from 1 species
GACAGAGGGUGCAACCGUUGUUCGGAAUUACUGGGCGUAAAGCGCGUGUAGGCGGCCUUGCAAGUCGGAUGUGAAAGCCCUGGGCUCAACCCAGGAAGUGCACUCGAAACUGCAAGGCUUGAGUUCCGGAGAGGAAAGCGGAAUUCUCGGUGUAGAGGUGAAAUUCGUAGAUAUCGAGAGGAACACCGGUGGCGAAGGCGGCUUUCUGGACGGCGACUGACGCUGAGACGCGAAAGCGUGGGGAGCAAACAGG